GACGAACGCUGGCGGCGUGCCUAAUACAUGCAAGUAGAACGCUGAAGGAGGAGCUUGCUUCUCUGGAUGAGUUGCGAACGGGUGAGUAACGCGUAGGUAACCUACCUGGUAGCGGGGGAUAACUAUUGGAAACGAUAGCUAAUACCGCAUAAGAGUAGAUGUCGCAUGACAUUUGCUUAAAAGGUGCAAUUGCAUCACUACCAGAUGGACCUGCGUUGUAUUAGCUAGUUGGUGAGGUAACGGCUCACCAAGGCAACGAGACAUAGCCGACCUGAGAGGGGGGUCGGCCACCCUGGGACGGUGACCCGGCCCAGACUCCUACGGGAGGCAGCAGUAGGGCAUCUUCGGCAAUGGACGGAAGUCUGACCGAGAAACGCCGCGUGAGUGAAGAAGGUUUUCGGAUCGUAAAGCUCUGUUGUAAGAGAAGAACGAGUGUGAGAGUGGAAAGUUCACACUGUGACGGUAUCUUACCAGAAAGGGACGGCUAACUACGUG
rnacentral:rRNA from 1 species